rnacentral:other from 1 species
CAUCCUCUGCCUUGAGCGACAGCGCGCAAACAUUCGCCUUGUCCCUUAAGAACGACAUCGGGUUGGCAACCUCGUUCAGGUGCGCAUGUCCGCCACGCAGCGGGAAGCCCAAAGACGAUCCAGCCUUCCCACUUGAACCCCGGGUUCAAGGUCGUUUCGCCGCAUCGCCACGGCGGAGGGUGU